rnacentral:rRNA from 1 species
AAUCAACGCUGGCGGCGUGCCUCAGACAUGCAAGUCGAACGAGAAGUCCCCUUCGGGGGAUGGACAGUGGCGCACGGGUGAGUAACACGUGGGUAAUUUACCUUUGGGUGGGGAACGAACAGCCGGAAACGGCUGCUAAUACCGCAUAAUGCAGCGGCUCGACAUCGAGACAGUUGUUAAAGCGGGGAUCGCAAGACCUCGCGCCUGAAGAGAAGCCCGCGGCAGAUUAGCUAGUUGGUAGGGUAAUGGCCUACCAAGGCGACGAUCUGUAACCGGCCUGAGAGGGCGGUCGGUCACACUGACACUGACAUACGGGUCAGACUCCUACGGGAGGCAGCAGUCGGGAAUUUUGGGCAAUGGGCGCAAGCCUGACCCAGCAACGCCGCGUGAAGGAUGAAGUUUUCGG